GACCAGGGAAGCGUCUUAGUUCAGUGGCAGAACAUCAGCUUUGCAUGCAUAAGGUCCCAGGUUCGGUCCCCAGCAACUCUGUCA